UAUACAUGCCAACAUUUCUCAUUGGUUUGAUAUGUCAUGAAGAAUUUAUUAUAAUAUUUAGUAUUUGGUAUUAUAUUCUUUUCUUCAAUUGUUGAAGUGACAUGUAUUUUAAGAGUUAUUAGAAUUAUUGGCAUACUACAUUAAGUUCAUCUCUAACCACUACUUGCCUAAAUGAAGACACUACAAUUCAAGGGGUGGGCUAUAAUUGAAACCAACAACCAAAGUUGGGUAUAGGAUUGGUAAAAGGCAAAAAUUGACAUAAUGUUUUGGGGGCUUUUUCCUUUUGGGUGGGGAGGGGGGACAGAAUAUUUAAAA
rnacentral:misc_RNA from 1 species